rnacentral:rRNA from 1 species
AGCAGCCGCGGUAAUUCCAGCUCCAAUAGCGUAUAUUAAAGUUGUUGCAGUUAAAAAGCUCGUAGUUGAAUUUCGGGAUCAGUAGGUUGGUCGUGCCAACGGUAUGCACUGGCCUCACUGGUACCUCCUUCUUGUAGAACCGUAAUGCCAUUAAGUUGGUGUUGCGGGGAAACAGGACUGUUACUUUGAAAAAAUUAGAGUGUUUAAAGCAGGCUAACGCUUGAAUACAUUAGCAUGGAAUAAUGAAAUAGGACGAACGAUCCUAUUUUGUUGGUUUCUAGGAUUGACGUAAUGAUUAAUAGGGAUAGUUGGGGGCAUUAGUAUUCAAUUGUCAGAGGUGAAAUUCUUGGAUUUAU